AGAGUUUGAUCCUGGCUCAGGAUGAACGCUGACAGAAUGCUUAACACAUGCAAGUCUACUUGAAUUUGGGUUUUUAACUUAGGUUUGGGUGGCGGACGGGUGAGUAACGCGUAAAGAACUUGCCUCACAGCUAGGGACAACAUUUAGAAAUGAAUGCUAAUACCUGAUAUUAUGAUUUUAGGGCAUCUUAGAAUUAUGAAAGCUAUAUGCGCUGUGAGAGAGCUUUGCGUCCCAUUAGCUAGUUGGAGAGGUAACGGCUCACCAAGGCGAUGAUGGGUAGCCGGCCUGAGAGGGUGAUCGGCCACAAGGGGACUGAGACACGGCCCUUACUCCUACGGGAGGCAGCAGUGGGGAAUAUUGGACAAUGGACCGAGAGUCUGAUCCAGCAAUUCUGUGUGCACGAUGAAGUUUUUCGGAAUGUAAAGUGCUUUCAGUUGGGAAGAAAGAAAUGACGGUACCAACAGAAGAAGUGACGGCUAAAUACGUGCCAGCAGCCGCGGUAAUACGUAUGUCACGAGCGUUAUCCGGAUUUAUUGGGCGUAAAGCGCGUCUAGGUGGUUAUAUAAGUCUGAUGUGAAAAUGCAGGGCUCAACUCUGUAUUGCGUUGGAAACUGUAUAACUAGAGUACUGGAGAGGUAAGCGGAACUACAAGUGUAGAGGUGAAAUUCGUAGAUAUUUGUAGGAAUGCCGAUGGGGAAGCCAGCUUACUGGACAGAUACUGACGCUGAAGCGCGAAAGCGUGGGUAGCAAACAGGAUUAGAUACCCUGGUAGUCCACGCUGUAAACGAUGAUUACUAGGUGUUGGGGGUCGAACCUCAGCGCCCAAGCAAACGCGAUAAGUAAUCCGCCUGGGGAGUACGUACGCAAGUAUGAAACUCAAAGGAAUUGACGGGGACCCGCACAAGCGGUGGAGCAUGUGGUUUAA
rnacentral:rRNA from 1 species